rnacentral:snRNA from 1 species
GGAUUUAAAAAAGAAAACUGAUG